rnacentral:rRNA from 1 species
UACGAAGGGGGCUAGCGUUGCUCGGAAUGACUGGGCGUAAAGGGCGCGUAGGCGGUUUGUACAGUCAGGUGUGAAAUUCCCGGGCUCAACCUGGGGGCUGUACUUGAUACGUAUGGACUGGAGUGGGGAAGAGGGUCGUGGAAUUCCCAGUGUAGAGGUGAAAUUCGUAGAUAUUGGGAAGAACACCGGUGGCGAAGGCGGCGACCUGGUCCUUGACUGACGCUGAGGCGCGAAAGCGUGGGGAGCAAACAGG